CCUACGGGGGGCAGCAGUAAGGGAUAUUGGUCAAUGGGGGAAACCCUGAACCAGCAACGCCGCGUGAGGGAAGACGGUUUUCGGAUUGUAAACCUCUGUCCUCUGUGAAGAUGAUGACGGUAGCAGAGGAGGAAGCUCCGGCUAACUACGUGCCAGCAGCCGCGGUAAUACGUAGGGAGCGAGCGUUGUCCGGAUUUACUGGGUGUAAAGGGAGCGUAGACGGCAGGGCAAGUCUGGAGUGAAAGCCCGGGGCCCAACCCCGGGACUGCUUUGGAAACUGCCAUGCUGGAGUGCUGGAGAGGUAA
rnacentral:rRNA from 1 species